UGCUGAAAUGUUUGCAACCAGGCAGAAACAGCAAAAGCCUGUGUUUGGAAACCUGAGGACUACAGAUUGUUUCCGUGGACUUAUUGGGAUUAUAAUGAAUUAAAACACAAUAAAACAUAACCUGAUUAAGGUUAUUAAGAGGUUAUAUCAUCCUUAAGCCAUACAAAGGCUCAUGAAUAAAGGAGUGGCUGUCAGCUGAGAGGUCUACAGUAUGAUAAAAAACAUGAAAAAACCAAAAAUACUUUCCCACCUGGAAGGCAAUUUUCAGGAGGCCACAACUCCAUGAACCUGAAACUUUGACUGCUGACAAGAAGUUGCUUGAAGCAGAAGUGUUGCAAAGAAGCCGCCUUCCCCACAGCAUCGCUGCCCUGGCUGCUGUCCCCAUCUGCUCGGUGGUGCUGUGGGGCAGGCAUGCCAGCAGGCUCCGAGCAGCAGGUCCCGCGUGCUGCUGAGUUUCU
rnacentral:lncRNA from 1 species